rnacentral:lncRNA from 13 species
AUGGUUUGUGGUGAUUUGUUAUGGCAGCUUCAGGCAAUGAAUGUGCCCUUUAUCAAGCUUUCUUCCAGUUCUCCAAGCGUGAGUGUGGACACACCAUCUGUUUCCUAUAAAAUAAAGAGAUGCUGUGUGGUAGGAUCUGUCUCUGAGUCCACAUUGCAGAAAAAACCAUCCUUCAGAAAGAAGCAGAGGAAGCCUGGCAUCUCAAGCGAUCGAGAUGGGAGAUGGAGGGGAUCCUGGGGUCUCUACCCUCUCCCUCACUGGGAAAUGAGCUCUGCUUCUUCAUGUGCCAAGCCCUGCCUCUGUGGGUGCAGCCUGAGGACAAAGGCAGUGCUGCAUCCCCGCCCCCUACAACCUUCGGCCCAGCCUCUCGGGUUCCCCUCAGCUUGUCAUCAGGGUGGAAGCAGCCAUCUCCUCUGAUGACUGACUUCAAGCUUCAACUCUCCCAUAGUUCCUCAAGCCAAGUCUGAGGCCAAGUCCCAGCUGCUGCCUUGGGACAGGUCAAGGGCCUCCUGCAGUCUUACGCACAAGCUGGAACCCAUGAGCCUAAGACACUUAUUGACCCACCCUCCAAGUCCUUGCCAGAGGAAUCUCUGCACACCUAUAUCCACAAUAAAGGGAGCCAUCUCCCCA